rnacentral:rRNA from 1 species
CAGUCGCCGCGGUAAAACGAAGGGGGCUAGCGUUGUUCGGAAUUACUGGGCGUAAAGGGCGCGUAGGCGGCCAUUCAAGUUAGAUGUGAAAGCCCUGGGCUCAACCUAGGAAUUGCAUUUGAUACUGUUUGGCUUGAGUUCGGGAGAGGUGAGUGGAAUUCCCAGUGUAGAGGUGAAAUUCGUAGAUAUUGGGAAGAACACCAGUGGCGAAGGCGGCUCACUGGACCGACACUGACGCUGAGGCGCGAAAGCGUGGGGAGCAAACAGGAUUAGAUACCCCUGUAGUCCCUGUCUCUUAUAC